ACAAGGUUUCCGUAGGUGAACCUGCGGAAGGAUCAUUAAUUAUCCUCGAAAUAGAGGUAGAUGCUUCGAUUCAUGCUUGGGCAACCGGCUGUCUACGUUGAUCUACCUUUACUCUUCAUGGACAUCCCUUCUGUGUAUCAACCCUUUGUUGCUUCCCGUAUGGUGUGGCCCGCAAGGGUUGCUCUGCGGGGAGGAUAUCAUAAACUCUGGUUGUUGUGUUGUUAGUCUGAGUGGUAAUCACAUUAAAAACAAGUUAAAACUUUCAACAACGGAUCUCUUGGUUCUCGCAUCGAUGAAGAACGCAGCGAAAUGCGAUAAGUAGUGUGAAUUGCAGAAUUCAGUGAAUCAUCGAAUCUUUGAACGCACAUUGCGCCUUCUGGUAUUCCGGGAGGCAUGCCUGUUCGAGCGUCAUCAAACACAUUCUCAAGCUCUUUUUGCUUGGUAUUGGAGGAAGAUGUCAGCAUCUCCUCUCAAAUCCCUCAGCGGAAACCACUGCAGUCUCAGGUGUGAUAAGAGUACCUUUCGCUUGAUGACUUGUAGUUACGUUCUUGCUGUCAAGAGCCCCCCAGCUUUUUUCUUAGUUGACCUCG
rnacentral:rRNA from 1 species